rnacentral:rRNA from 1 species
AGUGAACGCUGGCGGUAGGCCUAACACAUGCAAGUCGAACGGCAGCACAGGAGAGCUUGCUCUCUGGGUGGCGAGUGGCGGACGGGUGAGGAAUACAUCGGAAUCUACUCUGUCGUGGGGGAUAACGUAGGGAAACUUACGCUAAUACCGCAUACGACCUACGGGUGAAAGCAGGGGAUCUUCGGACCUUGCGCGAUUGAAUGAGCCGAUGUCGGAUUAGCUAGUUGGCGGGGUAAAGGCCCACCAAGGCGACGAUCCGUAGCUGGUCUGAGAGGAUGAUCAGCCAAACUGGAACGGAGAAACGGUCAGACUCCGACGGGAGGCAGCAGUGGGGAAUAUUGGACAAUGGGCGCAAGCCUGAUCCAGCCAUACCGCGUGGGUGAAGAAGGCCUUCGGGUUGUAAAGCCCUUUUGUUGGGAAAGAAAUCCAGCUGGCUAAUACCCGGUUGGGAUGACGGUACCCAAACAAUAAGCACCGGCUAACUUCGUGCCAGCAGCCGCCGUAA